UUCGCUGCGAUGUGAUCAGGAUUGUCUGUGGGGCUUGGAUUCGGACGCGAUUUGUUAUGCGGACAGCCGGGAUUGGGGACUGGACCAGGCGGGUGGAGACGCGGAGCCAGAUCUGAGCUGCUGAAUAGAGGCAGGGCUUCUGAAGGAGGGAAUAGUAAAGUGAGGAAGAAGGGAGAUAUUCAAGGAGGAAGGCACCAUUAGCAUGGCCUCAGCUCAACCUCAAAUCAAGACUGACAUCAAGUGCUGAAUGUCAGAGCUCUGUUGACCCGACCUCCUACUGAGCCAUCCAACACUCCAGCCCUGCUCUGAUACCUGGAAUCAACUUCAAGGCAUUCUCCAGUGGAUUUGGAGCAGAAAUGAGAGAAUAAAACACGACCUUUUACUGCUGCGUUAUGUCUAAAUUAAUAAAGGAAAACCUGGAGAAUUCCCUGACAGUAGUUGGGACUCUGUGCUUUCACUGACAAGGGUGCUGGUUUCAUCCCUGGUCUGGGAAGUAAGAUCUCACUUGAAGGCCUGUGUCCCCUCCCCCAUCAUGUAUGUGCUGUGUGCUCCAGGCAAGAAUAGUGGAGCCUGUUGCCAUUUUCUCUUCCAAGGGAUCCUGACUCAGGGAUCAAACCCAUGUCUCUGGUGUCUCCUGCAUAUCCUGCACUCCAGGCGGAUUCUGAGCCAACUGGGUUUCAUGUGUCCCCAACCCCACCCCCCCACACCCAAAAUGAACUUCACUCAAAUGGAGUCAGCAAGCCAGAAGGGGGCUUGUUGCAGAACUACAGACUGGAGGUCAGUUACGGAAGAACUGUCAAUUACAGACCCCAAGGGAAAAAUUUUCAACAAGGAAAGAGUUACCAAUGACAACCCUCAAGAGGAAAAGGUGUACACUGCAUCUCCUACAAGAAUUGACUACCCCAGCAACUCAGUCAAUGAGAAUUGGUCAUCACUCUUGAACUCUGACUUUUUUUUCCAAACCAACCUUCCCAGCCCCUUACUUUUCUCUAUAAAGUUCUUUUUCUUUGUUGGACUUCCUUAUGGCUUUUUUUUUUUUUUUUAAUAGCUCGCUUGUCCCAAAUUGCAAAAACUCUACUAUUCCUGAAUAAAUUCACUUUGUCUUGUAAAAUAACUUUUAUUUUUAAGGUGAAUAGCUGUAAGCAAAAGAAAUUGCAGAGUUUAUAUCUUAGACCAAAUAUUAAUAAAGCUUUGUGUAAGUCAAUGAGUCUACAAAGGAUUUUUGUAUUUUAACUCAAAGUAUACUGAGGGACCAAAACCAAGAAGCUUUUAACUUCAAAAUUAAGCACUUGGAGGGACUUUCCCAGCAGUCCAGUGGUUAAGACUCCCUGUUCCCAAUGCAAGAGACAGGGGCUCCCUGGUCCAGGAACUAAGAUCUGCACGUGCUGCAUGGCAUGGCCUCAUAAAUAAAUAAAUAUAACAAAAAGUCAUAAAAAAGAAACUAAACAAAUAGAAAAGAACAGUGCUAAUAGAAGGCAGAAGAUGACCAACAAGUUUCCAAAGGUGACUGUUCAGAAUUAUCUGAUAGUCAAGAAUACCCCACACUGGAGAUUUUCAGCAAGUACCAGAAGUUAUUCUGAGGCUGUAUGUGCCACUCAUUAAAAACAAUGCAUGAUCCACAAACAUGAUUAGAUCUUACAGUUAUUAUUAAUAGCUUUUUUUAGUAAGAGAUUGAAUUAUUCCAAAGAAAACAGUUCUGUAUGUAUUCAGAGUAUCAAAUGUUAAGACAAAAAUAAUCCCGAGUCCAUCUUUUAGGAUUUAAAUUGGCUCUCUGUCUA